rnacentral:misc_RNA from 1 species
GUUUUCUUGCAUUUGCCAGGAUCUUUAGUGGGGUUCUUCAUGCAGGACAGAAAGUUUUCGUGCUUACAGCAUUGUAUGAUCCACUGAAGGAAGAAUCAAUGCAGAAGCAUGUGCAAGAAGCUGAGUUGCAGUCUUUAUAUUUGAUGAUGGGUCAAGGGUUGAAACCAGUGGCAUCAGCCAAGGCGGGUAAUGUCAUAGCUAUCCGAGGGCUUGCCCAGCAUAUAUUGAAGAGUGCGACUCUUUCAUCUACGUUGAAUUGUUGGCCUUUAUCAAGUAUGACUUUCCAAGUAUCACCCAUGCUUAAAGUUGCAAUUGAACCUUCUGAUCCUGCUGACAUGGGUGCACUUAUUAAAGGUUUGAGGCUUCUAAACAGAGCGGAUCCUUUUGUUGAGGUUUCUAUUUCUGCUAGGGGCGAACAUGUUCUUGCUGCAGCAGGUGAGGUGCAUCUGGAGAGAUGCAUUAAAGAUUUAAAGGAGAGAUUUGCUAAGAUAAACUUGGAAGUCUCUGCGCCCCUUGUAUCUUUCAAAGAGACCAUCGAAGGAGAUAGCGCUAAUCCCUUAGAAAAUUUGAAGCUAUUGAGCCGCAGCUCUGAUUAUUUGGAGAAAGAAACUCCAAACGGAAGAUGUGUUGUUCGUGUGCGUGUUAUGAAGCUUCCAACUGCAUUGACAAAGCUGCUUGAUGAAAGUUCUGAGUUGCUUGAAGACAUCAUUGGAGGUAAAUCUCUACAGGCUUGUAGAAGCUCGGAAACUCUCAGAAGUAACGUUGUAGAAGAUGAGAAUCCAAUUGAAGCAUUUAAGAAACGCCUAAUAGAUGUUGUGGAGAGCGACUUUUCUACUGGAUUUGCUGAUACAGAAAAGGAUAGGAUUGAUAAAUGUAAGAAAACAUGGCAAAAAUUCUUAAAAAGGAUCUGGGCUUUAGGGCCUAGACAGGUCGGUCCCAACAUUCUCCUCACUCCGGAUGUGAAAGGAAAGAGCGCCGAUGUUUCUAUUCUUAUAAAGGGUUCCCCUUAUGUAUCGAAAAAAUUGGGCUUUACGGAUGACAAUGAUGAUAGCAGCGCAUCACCAGAAUCAUCAACCAGUGUGGAUCCGACGCUUUUACGAGAAGCUGAGAAUCUUGAAAGCAGUAUAUUAUCUGGAUUUCAGUUAGCUACAGCAUCUGGCGCUUUAUGUGAUGAGCCAAUGUGGGGUUUGGCAUUUGUUAUUG